rnacentral:ncRNA from 1 species
AACACAAGGUCUUGGUCUUAAACCUCUCAUUAUCUAAACUCCUUACUUAUACAUGCAAGCCUCAACACAACAGUGAAACAGCCCAUUACCACACCAUAAUGGAGCCGGUAUCAGGCCAACCCAUGACACCAAGCAAUAAAGCCACACCCACGGGCUAGCAGCAGUACUUAACAUUGGGCCAUAAGCGAAGCUUGACCGACCGCGGUUAUACGACAGACCCAAGAAAAUGACACCGGCGUAAAGCACGACUAAAACUAAGUCUUCACAUUAGCGGUAAAAAAAGGCUGGGCUGUAAAAAGCUAUAAGCUUUAAUAAACACACCCCGCUAAUACCCGGACCUUUUUGACCCGUGAAAGUCAGGACACAAACUAAGAUUAGAUACCUUACUAUGCCCGACCAUAACAAAACAACUAAACAACAAACCGUUCGCCAAAUAACUACGAGUAAAAACUUAAAACUUAAAAGACUUGACGGUACUUCACACCAACCUAGAGGAGCCUGUCCAAUAACCGAUGAUCCACGAUUAACCCAACCCACCCUGGCCCAACAGUCUAUAUACCGCCGUCGCCAGCUUACCUUGUGAAAGAAACAAAGUAAGCCCAAUAAUAAACCAUUAAUACGACAGGUCGAGGUGUAACCAAUGGGUGGGACAAGGAUGGGCUACAUUUUCUAAGCUAGAAAAAAACGAACAGACUAUGAAACUAGAAACCGAAGGUGGAUUUAGCAGUAAGCUAGGAAUAAACAAACCUAACCGAAACUAACGCMAUGAAGUGCGCACACACCGCCCGUCAUCCCUGAAAAACAUUCAACCUAUACAUAAACAACCAUCGUUUUAUCAAAACAGGGCAAGUCGUAACAUGGUAAGCGYACUGGAAAGUGUGCY